rnacentral:misc_RNA from 1 species
UCCUAGUUAACCUAGGCAGUCUUGCCAGAGUCCCCGCCUUAACGCGUUGGCAACUGACAAUAAGGGUUGCGCUCGUUGCGGGACUUAACCCAACACCUCACGGCACGAGCUGACGACAGCCAUGCAGCACCUACAUAGAGAUCCUUGCGGAACAUCAUCAUCUCUGCUGACUUCCUCUACAUUUCAAGCCUGGGUAAGGUUCUUCGCGUUGCAUCGAAUUAAACCACAUGCUCCACUGCUUGUGCGGGCCCCCGUCAAUUCUUUUGGGUUUCACCCUUGCGAGCGUACUCCCCAGGCGGCAUACUUAACGCGUUAGCUACGAUACAGAUGGGGUUGAGCCCACCUACAUCUAGUACCCAUCGUUUACGGCGUGGACUAC